UGUUUGGCUUUGUGGCUAAAAGCAGUCAUGCUGGUUUGGUGAAGCAACUCCGAGCUGAAGCAUGUGCCAUGCAUUAUGUGUGAGUGCUGCAGCUUCUGCUACAUUCCCAUGGAUUGGUUAAUGUGCCUGCCUCUAUGGCCUGUGGCUGUGCUCUGCCUUUACUGUAGUCAAAGUACUGGUGUGGCUCAGGCUGUGCUGUACUUCAACAACAACUAUCAGGAAAGAAAGCAUAGUUUCCUCUGAAUUGUCUUCUAUUCUGCACAGCUACUCAAAAUCAGUACUUUUAGUUAUUUGGGAGAAUGGAUUAUUUGAUUAGAAAGCUAAGGAAAACUUUAUGAUUUGAGAAUUAAAUGUCCCAAAUAACCAUAUGUAUGCAACUGAUCUCUUAAACUUUAGCUAUUCUAUGACUUCAAGUAAUUUCAUUAUUUUCAGCCUUUAUGCCAGUGUGCUCUUUCAUCAUCAUUACUCAUGAGAACUGAAUCAAACGUAUUUUGGGAGAAAUUAUAGAACAUGAGCAAUUGAAAAAAAAAAAAAACAGGUUAGCAAACCAGUGGAAUUCUCAUGCAUGAGAACUAACAAAUGACUUUUCAAUAAACUAGCUGUAAGCUGUAAAGUAAAAAAGGAGCUUCCACACUACUUAUCAUGAGUCACAAGACGAACUCAGCAGAAAAAUGUUGUGUUUCAGUAGCAUGUCCAACAUGUCUCAAAGGCUACAGAACAUAAAAGAAUGCCAUAUCUGUCUUUUCCCAAAGAGCUAACGUUAGUACUGGUUCCAAAGUAAAUGGAAUUUUGACACAGUUAGUGUUAAAUAGUUUCAAAACCUGCUAGAAAAUUGAUACAUUGAUACAUAAACCCCAUUUUCUAAUUUCAGACAUAUUAGAGAAAGAAAAAUGUUGAAUGGGAUGGAAACUGAUACUUUAAUGAAAUUUCUGGCCAAUGUGUAUCUCCUUUUCAUGCACACCUUAUGAAUUCAUUGUACUUAUUACCUGAAAAUAGAAGAAUGUGAGCACCAUUAAAAAACAAGCUAAAAGGAACCACACUACUUUCAGAGCUUCCCACUCUUCAAAGGUUUUCUGCAAUAAAAGCUUCCAGCAGAAGAGCAUAUGUGGAAUAACAAAGCUCAGUAAAAUCCAACUAAAUGAAAAGGAAGGUGACAGGCAGGAAUCCUAAAUCAAAGAAAGAAAUCCUGUGAACAGGAUGCAGCUUUCUGAAGUGCUUAGAAAUUGAAAGAUUCUUUUGGAAACCAUGCUGGACUGAAGACCUAGACUGAGAUUCCUCGACUCUAAUAAAAAUAUGGCAUAGCAAAGUCAAACACAUUGUCCUGGCCCAUACUGAGAGCUGUUGCUACUGCAACUUUGGCUACCUUUAUCAGCAGUGACUACGGUCAUAGUGAGCAAGAGGCAUAUAAGAACCACUGAUCUGGAUGAUUUAACUUCAUCUGAAAACUGAGGUAAUGUGUUCUUAUAUUUCUCUAAGAGAAACAGGAGUGCAGUAAAGAGCUGGAAGAAUCUGCAGAGCUGAUUGGAGCAAUGUAAGGUAUGUAGUGGAAAGAGAAUAUAAGCAGUGUUAACUGGGUAAAAAUAGAACAGGAGGCCAUAAUCUAAACAAAAAAUCAUAUUUAAUGUGUUACAUUUGGUGCUUUAUUUACCCAUUCUCCUAAUAAAUACAGUAAGACUAAAACACUAA